rnacentral:lncRNA from 1 species
GGAAAUAAGAAAAGUAGAUUUACAUAUAAAAGAAGGACAAGAAGAAUCAAGAAUGAGAUCCGAACUGGAAAAAUAGAGGCUGACAGCUAUAAAUUAGUAUUUUAUUUUUUAUUAUUUUUUGCCGACUUGUACUUUUCCGGCCAACUCUAACGAGUGCCAAUUUUUCCUCAGUUCAUGCACUAUGAAACCUCAUUCUUUUCUUAUCAAUAAAACACUUUCGAAGUAACCCACAAUUGAGUUUGCCUCUUUCUUUACUAAGUCCGAUCAAACUAUUCAACAUUGAACCAGCAUUUGAACAUGACAGGUGAAUAGG